AUUGAACGCUGGCGGCAGGCCUAACACAUGCAAGUCGAACGAGUGGCGGACGGGUGAGUAAUGUCUGGGAAACUGCCCGAUGGAGGGGGAUAACUACUGGAAACGGUAGCUAAUACCGCGUACCAUCGGAUGUGCCCAGAUGGGAUUAGCUUGUAGGUGAGGUAACGGCUCACCUAGGCGACGAUCCCUAGCUGGUCUGCGAGGAUGACCAGCCACAGGUGAACGGAGAAACGGUGCAGACUCCGACGGGAGGCAGCAGGUGGGAAUAUUGCACAAUGGGCGCAAGCUUGAUGCAGCCAUGGCGCGUGUAGGAAGAAGGACUGCGGGGUGUAAAGGACGUUCAGAGGGGAGGCGUUACCCGCAGAAGAAGCACAGGCUAACUCCGUGCCAGCAGCCGCGGUAAUUC
rnacentral:rRNA from 1 species